GCCUUCGUGGUGUAGUGGUCAGCACGCUCGACGCGUAACCGAGAGGUCCGUGGUUCGAUUCCCGACGAAGGCU
rnacentral:tRNA from 1 species